AUCAGAUCUAAAUGCUCUAAGUUGAUGCUUAUGCUUCAUACCUGAGCUAUUGGAUCUUGAUUAGCACUCGGGGACCCUCCCUUAUGGUGCCGUUGAUAUUCCGUGACCUCUCGCAUUACCUGGUUAUUUCACAAGAACAACAAAGCAACCUCAGGAGCUAUUCCAUAGGGCGAUGAUCAUGAUUCUAGGGCGGACCUGUGCCUUAGAGCCUAAAAACGAAGCUAGACUAGUUUAAUCAUGUUAUAAACUUUGUAUUUUCCUGUUUUGAAACAAUGGAACACUCUUGUCAAUAAAUAAAAUGUAACUUUAAUU
rnacentral:lncRNA from 1 species